rnacentral:rRNA from 1 species
UACGGGGGGGGGCAAGCGUUGUUCGGAAUUACUGGGCGUAAAGGGCUCGUAGGUUGCCAACUAAGUCAGACGUGAAAUCCCUCGGCUUAACCGGGGAACUGCGUCUGAUACUGGAUGGCUUGAGAUUGGGAGAGGGAUGCGGAAUUCCAGGUGUAGCGGUGAAAUGCGUAGAUAUCUGGAGGAACACCGGUGGCGAAGGCGGCAUCCUGGACCAACACUGACACUGAGAAGCGAAAGCCAGGGGAGCAAACGGG